rnacentral:rRNA from 1 species
AGAGUUUGAUCCUGGCUCAGAACGAACGCUGGCGGCAGGCCUAACACAUGCAAGUCGAGCGAGGGGUAACCCUAGCGGCGGACGGGUGAGUAACGCGUGGGAACGUGCCCUUUGCUACGGAAUAGCCCUGGGAAACUGGGAGUAAUACCGUAUGAGCCCUUUGGGGGAAAGAUUUAUCGGCAAAGGAUCGGCCCGCGUUGGAUUAGGUAGUUGGUGGGGUAAUGGCCUACCAAGCCGACGAUCCAUAGCUGGUUUGAGAGGAUGAUCAGCCACACUGGGACUGAGACACGGCCCAGACUCCUACGGGAGGCAGCAGUGGGGAAUCUUAGACAAUGGGCGCAAGCCUGAUCUAGCCAUGCCGCGUGAGCGAUGAAGGCCUUAGGGUUGUAAAGCUCUUUCAGGGGGGAAGAUAAUGACUGUACCCCCAGAAGAAGCCCCGGCUAACUCCGUGCCAGCAGCCGCGGUAAUACGGAGGGGGCUAGCGUUGUUCGGAAUUACUGGGCGUAAAGCGCACGUAGGCGGACUGGAAAGUCAGGGGUGAAAUCCCGGGG